UACUGCAUUUGUUUUUACAAAAACUACCGAAAUUAAGCUGACAAUUGACUCUAGAACAUUGAUUUGCACACGUCGUUCUGUUUUAAAUGCCCACAAAUACAGUAUAUCACGCGCCAAACGUCAAUAUUCUUUCCUGACGUACUUUUUAAUUUCAGUUUAUUGGUUGAAGCCCGCUGGCUCUUGAUACAUUUCUUUCCGCGGUCUGACGAUACACGUUAAGUUUGCAGCUUCUCAGAAACCCCCCAAAACAAAUAUGGCAUCAGCGGACAACAUUCACCAUCUACCACUUCAAAAUGAGUUCAGCACAGGUUCGCGUCCUGGCUGAACGAAGAAGGCCGGUCUUCACUGGGUACCAAAGGUUGUAUUGGCUCUGGUGAUUGGUCCAUUCACGGUGUCCAAAGAAACAUAAGCCUGGAAACAAAAUGCCCUCAGAGAAGGAAUAUUUUACUUGACUUACAUACGUAAUGAAUUGUGGAAAUUGCCUCUAUUUUACUGGAACAAAAUAAACAUUUUGAAUACUAUUCACUGGAACAUAAGAUCACUGUAAAAAUAGUUUUUUUUCUUUUUUAAUUAACUAUUUAGGUGGCUCAUCUGGCAGUGUAGACGACAAUUUUGCCAGCUGUGCUGGCUGGAAAUGAGAAACUUGGACUAGACGCCUGAUUUUGUUUGGCUGGAAGAAGGCUGACCCACCCUCAUAUCAUAACUAGAUCAUGAAUCUUAUGCAUUUCCUUAAAUCAGACCAACUCAGACCCUUCUCUUCCAUAACUUAUUUCUAGGGCAGUGUUCCUCACUAAGAAAAUGGCAGACCACAGAGAAGUAUUAUAACCCCCUACUCCACUAAUGUUAAUAAUGAAUAACAUUAGAAAAAAAAUAUUGCAUUCUAUGUAAAUUAUAACAAUGACCAGGCAAAUACACAGCUUACAGAAAAUAGUUUUUUAGGUUGGAAGAAAGCAGAGCCACAAACAAUAAAACAAGUUGACAAAUCCAAGGGGAUGACUACCAAGGAGUAAAAAGAUUUGUUGUAUUACUUACUUCAAGAGGACUAACAUUUAGAGCAGUGUUUUUGACAUGUUGGCCAAAGACUUUGUGUAACAACCUUUCUGCUACUUUGUAAAAUAAUUGUUAUAACAGUCACAUAUAUCCACGCCUUUAUUAAAACAGCCCAUUUAAGCUGAAUAUAAAUGUUGUGCCGAGAACAAUGAAUUUCAGUCCACUAACUAGUAUAGUAAUGAGUGUAAACCAAUCUUUUACAUUGUAUUGAACCCUGCACCACACAAUUGUCCAUGGUGGGUAUUUAAAAUAGAAGACAAUAUGAAAGCAAAGUUUACUCUCACGGUUCAGUUUAUUAGUUUAUUUAUUUUUAAAAACAUUUUAAAAUCUAGAU